GACGAACGCUGGCGGCGUGCUUAACACAUGCAAGUCGAACGGAAAGGCCCUGCUUUUGUGGGGUGCUCGAGUGGCGAACGGGUGAGUAACACGUGAGUAACCUGCCCUUGACUUUGGGAUAACUUCAGGAAACUGGGGCUAUUACCGGGUAGGAGCUCCUGCUGCAUGGUGGGGGUUGGAAAGUUUCGGCGGUUGGGGAUGGACUCGCGGCUUAUCAGCUUGUUGGUGGGGUAGUGGCUUACCAAGGCUUUGACGGGUAGCCCGCCUGAGAGGGUGACCGGCCACAUUGGGACUGAGAUACGGCCCAGACUCCUACGGGAGGCAGCAGUGGGGAAUAUUGCACAAUGGGCGGAAGCCUGAUGCAGCAACGCCGCGUGCGGGAUGACGGCCUUCGGGUUGUAAACCGCUUUCGCCUGUGACGAAGCGUGAGUGACGGUAAUGGGUAAAGAAGCACCGGCUAACUACGUG
rnacentral:rRNA from 1 species